rnacentral:rRNA from 1 species
UGGGGAAUCUUGCACAAUGGGGGAAACCCUGAUGCAGCGACGCCGCGUGAGCGAUGAAGCCCUUCGGGGUGUAAAGCUCUUUCGGCAGGGACGAUAAUGACAGUACCUGCAGAAGCAGCUGCGGCUAACUACGUGCCAGCAGCCGCGGUAAUACGUAGGCAGCAAGCGUUGUUCGGAAUUACUGGGCGUAAAGAGUGCGUAGGCGGUUGGCUAAGUUUGGUGUGAAAUCUCCCGGCUUAACUGGGAGGGUGCGCCGAAAACUGGCUAGCUAGAGUGCGGGAGAGGAUAGUGGAAUUCCUGGUGUAGCGGUGAAAUGCGUAGAUAUCAGGAGGAACACCUGAGGUGUAGACGGCUAUCUGGACCGUAACUGACGCUGAGGCACGAAAGCGUGGGGAGCAAACA